GCAAUAUGCAGAAGCUCUGAGGUAUGCAAUAAGAUCCACAACUUGUAUGAAAAUGGAAGGGAGAAACCAGAGCAAAAUGAUUUUGGCCUUACUCUCACCAUGGACAACCAAAAAGAGUGGGUUGAUUUCUCAAAUGAGGGAGACUUAUGCAGUUGAUCCACAGAAGACCAAAGCAUUGGCUUACUGUGCCAUAUAAAAUAGUAUCCCAAGGCUUCAGUUAUCAUCUUAAGUGACUGGCAAGGAAACUGGGAUGAGUGACUUAGAAGACUAAGUGAUUUACCAACUGAUAUAGAAGACUUUUGAGAAUGAACGAGAGGAUGGCAAGGUCAAAUAAAAGUCUGAUCCAAUGCCAUUCAGGUCAAUAGGAAGAUAACCUUAUAUAAAUUCCCACUGAAAAUGCUUUCUCUGCACUUAUUAAAACAACUUCUUCUCUGAUAUUGAAUGAGAAUUGUUACAGACCAAGUACUCCUUUUGUGUGUGUGAUGCUUAUUGGACAAGGAAGAUCGAUUUGCCUUUGUCAGUGUCUUUACAUUAAAAUGAAUUUUUUUCCCUCUAACCUCUUUUCUGGCACAAAAUUUUGUCUGAUCUUGGCCAAAGCAUUUAACCCCUUGAUGCCUUGAUCAUAGGUUUCCAAUCAUUCUUGGAGACAGAAAAUUUGUGUCUGAAAUAUGAGAGUUUACAGGGUGACCAUAUGCCCCAUCAUUGUGGUAUGCGUUAUAUAAGUGACUUUCAUACUCCUGAUUAUA